CUUUGUUUCUUUGCAGGUGCUGUCGCCGUUCUCAGCGUGCCAAGGAACGGAGGCGAGCGGGUGUCUUCCGGGCAGACUCUGGAGUCAAAUCAAGAUUUGAGGUACCAUGAGGAGGUUUGUAGCCAAAGUUCGGAAAGAGCAGCACCGAAGCGCACGACAACGUCUCAGCGUCCGCGUCCAACCGGCGAUGGAUUUUGUCAGCUCGUCUUCCCAAAGCUAAGUGUCGGGGCCCAUACUUGCGGGGAGGGAAAAAGCCUUUACUCUCACAUGGGGCAAUUUGAUGUUAGCUUAGCGGAGCAGUCUGUAGUGGAACAGGUCCCUCGGAAGUAAAGGGAGAGGGUUUCUCCUGGCCUCACCAGAGCCUUUGCCGGGCAGGGCAGUUCCGACCCGUCUCCACGUUCUCGCGAACUUUGCGUCGUCUGCCUCCUUCAACCCUCGAUGUCGUUGUGGAUCUUUCUCCCGAGGAGCUCGCCUUCAGGUCCGGAGCUAUAGCCACCAUCACCCGGCAGUCUUCGCUUCCUUCUCUAGGCCCACCCAGCCUCCCGAGCAUCCUCUUAACUGCUUUGGCAGCACUUCCUUUUAAGGAGCUGUUUCAUCAUCACACACUCUUGCCAUAGGACUCGCUUUCCUUCGGCAUCUUUGGCCUCUGGCUCAUCUCACACUAGAAAUCUUGAAUCCAUAAGGUGUAACUGCCAGGCGGUUUCCACUCGUGUCUGUGUCCU